AACGGGUGAGUAACACGUGGGCAAUCUGCCCUUCACUCUGGGACAAGCCCUGGAAACGGGGUCUAAUACCGGAUAACACUCUGUCCCGCAUGGGACGGGGUUAAAAGCUCCGGCGGUGAAGGAUGAGCCCGCGGCCUAUCAGCUUGUUGGUGGGGUAAUGGCCUACCAAGGCGACGACGGGUAGCCGGCCUGAGAGGGCGACCGGCCACACUGGGACUGAGACACGGCCCAGACUCCUACGGGAGGCAGCAGUGGGGAAUAUUGCACAAUGGGCGAAAGCCUGAUGCAGCGACGCCGCGUGAGGGAUGACGGCCUUCGGGUUGUAAACCUCUUUCAGCAGGGAAGAAGCGANAGUGACGGUACCUGCAGAAGAAGCGCCGGCUAACUACGUGCCAGCAGCCGCGGUAAUACGUAGGGCGCANGCGUUGUCCGGAAUUAUUGGGCGUAAAGAGCUCGUAGGCGGCUUGUCACGUCGGAUGUGAAAGCCCG
rnacentral:rRNA from 1 species